AGGGUUGGGUUAUUAUAACCCUAACCCACGUUUGGGGCCCAAUUUAUGGAAACCCUAGUUUUAGGGUUUCCAUAAUCCCUAUUUUACCCCCUUAAGCCCUCCAUUCUUCCUUCCUCAACACUUCAUAAAAAUCCUCCAUCUUCUUCCCCUUAAUCCGUUUUCAACCUUUCAUCAACCCGUCCUCAACCCCUGCAUUUUUUGUCCCUCAACUCCUCUAUAAUUCGUACGCAAAAUCAUGGGUUCAUCUCUUUAAUUGGUUGUGUCAUUCGUUUUCUUGCCGAAAAAAAAUGGUGUUUUCGCUUCCACCCUUCUGUGUUAUCUUCGUAUUCGAAGAUACAAUCGGUUCCACCUUCUCUCUCACUCUCUGAAAUCAUCCUUUGUUUCGUUGAAGGUUUCGUUCCACCGCGUUGCCUCUGGCGUUUUGCUUUCCCCUUUCAGUUUCGUUGAACGACUUGGAUGAAACCUUACCUACGAAAUUGUGGCUUGCAUGUUCGAUGAAUCUUUUUGGUGAACAUGCAAGUCCUUUGUUCUUGCCACUACGACUUUCCCUUGCCGCUUGGACUUUGCUUUUGUCACUCAAACUUCCCCUUGCCGAUUGGACUUUCCCUUUACUGAGAACGGACAGUUGCUACAUAAUCCUUGUGGGCAUUGGUGAUUUUCAAGCAAGGAUGUCUGACUUCAUACUUUCCUUAUAAGAGGUACUAUGGUUUAGCCGUUUGCAGUAAAUUUUUUCCUUUCUUUUCGUAGCAUUUUUUUGUACGAUUUGUACAGUGUAAUUUGAACUAAAAUGUUGCCAUGAACUCUUGCUUUUGUAAUAACAUUUGCUUGGACAUGUAAUUAUUUUUUUUGCAAACGAUAUUAUAUAAUAUUCUUUUCUUUUAUGCAUUAUGAA